rnacentral:rRNA from 1 species
CAUAGCGACUAUCGUGGCAUAUCAAUAAGCGGAGGAAAAGAAACUAACAAGGAUUCCCCUAGUAACGGCGAGUGAAGCGGGAAGAGCUCAAAUUUGAAAUCUUAAAGGGUUUCCCUUUACGAAUUGUAGUUUAAAGAAGUGUUUUCUGUUGGAGUUUCGGUAAAAGUUCUUUGGAAUAGGACAUCAUAGAGGGUGAGAAUCCCGUAUUUGACCGUUACUUUCCAGCUGUGUGAUACACUUUCAAAGAGUCGGAUUGUUUGGGAAUGCAGUCCAAAAUGGGUGGUAAAUUUCAUCUAAAGCUAAAUAUUGGCGAGAGACCGAUAGCGAACAAGUACCGUGAGGGAAAGAUGAAAAGAACUUUGAAAAGAGAGUUAAACAGUACGUGAAAUUGUCAAAAGGGAAGCGUUUGACACCAGUGUUGUUUUUCCGAAAAUCAAUUACGAAUGUUUUGUUUUUGAGGAGUUAUGACUUCAUCGGCUUGCUCCUUUCUUUACGAAACUUUCUUAAUGCACUUUUCGGUUAACAAGUCAACAUCAAUUUCUUUUGUUGUAAAAGGGUAUGAGGAAGGUGGCUUUCUUUUCGGAGAAAGUGUUUAUAGCCUUGUGCCUCUACAAUCGGAGAGAUUGAGGUCUGCAGCGUAGAUCCUUCGGGGUUAGAUACGUUUGUGCUAAGUUAUAGCUUUUCAUAGACAACUUGUUGACUAUGUUUAGUCUUGUAGCUUACUCGCUGACGCUAUUUUACCUACGCUUAGGAUGUUGAUAUGCAUGACUGAUAU